CUCAUCCCCUCCUCCUUCCUUGUAAUGCACAUUCCACCCACCAUCCCCUCAGGGAGAGCUGGAGCUUUUUCAAGCAUGCAGCUUGGAGAGAUUAAGGUGUUACUGCCAGCAUCUGGAGGUAUACAGGACUGAACCCAGAUGAGACCUCUAAAUAAACUCUGAAGAUCUUGGUGGAGAGGGGGAAAAGUAAAGAAGAAAUAGAUGAGCAGAGAGAACAUGAAGAAUGACGAUUUGAAAGGCGGGAGAAGAAUGACAAAGGAGAAAGAGAAGAUCAGUCUGGAAAGGCAUAUUUGUGUGCUUAUGUGCUAGCCCCUUUGGGACAUGUUGGUGAAUAAGAAAGAUGGAAGUUGCCUGCCAGAGCUUACAGUCUACUGGAGGAGUCAGACAAACAAACAGAUCUCAAGUGAGUACACUAAAUAAUGAUAAAAAAAGGUGUGGCAGCUAUGAAGAGAUAACGGAGAAGGGGAGUAUCUAAGGGACUCACUUGAGGAAAAUCCACUAUCCAGAGGUGACUUAAGUCUGAAGGAUGAGGGUUAGACUUGCAAAGAGGGAGGGAGAGCUGGCCUGACUGGGGAGUAAGAGCUAGGGGUGGG